rnacentral:piRNA from 1 species
UGUGGUCCGUGUACUUGGUUUUGGGUC